CUCUCUCUCUCACACACACACACACACACACACAAAUGUAAUUUUUAAUAAGGAGUCUCUUUCUCUUGGCCUCCAUUCCCCUGCAUCCUCCCCCUUGGAGCCCAUGGCUCCUGCCAGGUGCCCCUCCCAACAGCCCCCUUCUCUGAGUCCUCUAACCCCUUCCCUUCCUUCACGUGUCAUCAAGCUACAGGUGAUAGCUGUCCCCACUGUUGCUAGCCUCCAAGUGCCUCACUGGCCCUUACCGGCUGCCUGCAGCCCCUCCCACACCUUUGUAAGCAGCACCCACUUGAGCAUGCCUCCUGUUUCCUACUAGACCUGACCAUAGGGCUUUAUGAGGAGAAGACUAUCGUCUCCAUUGUAAAACCACAAACCCCAGGCUCAGAGAAGUUGAGCAACCCGUGCGAGGGUGCAUAGCAGAGCUGGGUCUCAAUUCCAGGUGUUCCAGUGUGAGCCUUGGCAUUGGGCUAGAGGGCUUCCCACACACUAAAACCACCUCCAGAGUCCACGUAUCAGUUUCCUUUGCUGUUUUUUUCUCCCCACAACUAUCUUUUGAAAGUAUGAAAAUUGGAACUGCUAGUAAAGAAGGUGGCGGAGGUGGAGAAAGGAUACCAGGCCCGUUAAACUAGGCCUCGAGCCCUCAUUCGCUAAGCUCUCUGCUGACGUCGCAGCCCCUGAGGGCUGAAGCAAAGUCCUGAACUGGCCAAAAGAGGUGACCUGAGGUUUCCUGAGAACUGCGGUACCCUUGAGUCUUCCACAGGGCUGAGAUGCAGUACAGCUCUGGUCCUUCAGCUCAGCUCUGAUACCCUAACUAGGGCCGCGGUACUUUUUAAAGUUUUGAAACUGCUGAUUCAGUUUGCAUAAGGAUAUUACUUUUUUUUAAGGAACUUUCAAAAACACCUAAAAUUUAAUUGUAGGUUUUGUUCAGUUAGAGACUCCCUGGGUGCAGAAUUUUCUCUACUUCCCAGCAUUUUUAGAAUGUGAUGUCACUUGGGGUUGGAGGGAGACUCUGGGGACAAUGGACAGGAAGUUGCUGCUGGGCCUUUGAGAUGCCCAGUAGGCCAAAGGGCCUUUUAGACCCUGGAACGCAGCUCAUAGCAGCUGUCUGCUCCUGCCUUGUCUCGCCAGUCCUGGAGCAUGCCCCAAAAGAGCUGGCUUGUAAGCAGAUUGUCGGUGUCAGGAAGCCAGUGUUCAUGUUCCCAGUGCCUGUCAAGGGUGUGUGAUGUGGAGCAGCGGACACCUGGAAAAGGAAAAUCCAGAAAGGAGAAAAGCGAAUGAAAAAGAAAUCAGAGGGAAUUACAGAACUAGGUUGGACAGGCAUUGGAAGAGCUCUGUGACAGCCACUCUGAUCAACCAUGUCUCCACUUUUAAGUCCUGAUUGUACUUAUGAAUGAUGAACCAUGUCUGCACAGACUGUCCAGGGAUCACAUAAACAGUUUGGGUGAUUAUA